CCCAAAGAGUAUGUUUAACACCCCUACUGGUUAGGAAGGAACAAGCCCCGCCUUCCCCUGCUCUGUACCGUCACGUGCUCAGACACAGAGAGAGACGGAGGUGCACGAGACCAUCGCUGAUUUUCACCGCCAAGCUUGUUGCUGGAAAAUAACCAUAAACUUGAUAAAUUGAGCAAAUAUCCAUACCGGAGAUCUGCAUGGACCUUGGAGAACCGGACCUGAUUUGUUGUGAACAUUUUGGACUUUGAAACCAUCGCGAUCUGCACGGGUGCGGAUGAAGCGGACAAGAUCCUCUCUGAGAGUUGAACAUUAGAAGUGUGCUGGCUAGGGUUUUUUUUGUGGGAUCGUGAGACCUGGAUUUCUUCCUGACGAGGAAGAUGGCGAGCCUUUCCCUUUGAACCGAACCACAGCCAUUCCGAGUUGGCCCAGAAGGGCAGGUUGCUCUUCUUUCACGAACAAUUGCAACAGUGCCGUAGGACGAAAUCGCACCAAUCACAGACUUUUGACCUAUUGGAUUUGACUUGACUGAACACUGACUAUUAAGCCGGCAAGACUGACAUAUCUGAGCUCAGAUAAGAUUCUGGUUACUAUUAUUAUUGCUGUCAUUGUAUUUUAUUUUAUGUUUUCAUUCCUGUUUAUGAUGUGCUGUUAAAUUGUUUCUAAAUAGUUCAAUACAAUUCAAAGCAACUUUAUCUGUGGCUCCACUCAUUCUUCUCCACGCAACUCACUUUAUCCCUCCUACGAAUCUAGCUAUUGGCCCAUUCUCUCCAUCUUGCUUUAACUUCCCCUACCCUAUCCUAUACUUGGCUACAUGAACACUAGAGACUCAUAUGUCAGAGUGCUGUUCAUAGACUUCAGUUCAGCCUUCAGCAUCAUCAUUCCCCAGCAACUCAUUCACAAACUGGAUCUGCUGGGGAUCAGCACCUUGCUGUAUAACUGGCUGCUAGAUUUCUUGACAGGAAGACCGCAGAUAGUACGCUCGACAGCAACACCUCCAGCCCAAGAACACUGAAUACGGGGCUCCCCAAGGAUGUGUGUUGAGCCCCCUUCUCUUCACUCUGCUGACCCACGACGAGAUCUACUACAGGGGUGAAGUUACCAUCUGGCAGAGUGGUACAGCAACAACAACCUGUCCCUGAAUGUGGAGAAGACCAACAGCGACUCUACUUCCUCUGCGAACUGAGAAGCACAAGAGAUUCAACCCCCAUGAGCACCUUCUACAGAGGCACAGUUGAGAGUAUCCUCACCAGCUGCAUCACUGUGUGGUAUGACUCCUGCACUGGGUUCUGCAGGAAAAAAUGACAAUGGGUAGUGAGAGCAGCUGCACCUGCCUCAUCUGGAACGUCCUCUCCAUUACAGGUGACUCCACUCAUCCCUUCAGCAGCGUCUUCAGUUUGCUGCCAUCAGGAAGGAUACUGAAGAGCCUCCGGGCCAGAACACAUAGACUGAGAGACAGCUUCGUCCAUCGGGCUGUCAGGAUGCUGACCAUCUCUGACUCGAGAAGGGGGGCCCAAGGGUACAUCUUUCGCCAUCCUACAAUGCUGUGAUUGUAGCCAUUCCCCACUUUCUGUGAAUGGUACUCAUGGCCAUUGAUCAGUAGGCUUUGAUUAGUUGUCAUUGAUCAAUGGUCAUAAGAAUUUGCAUACUAACAAUCAUGGAACUAACCCCCCAGCACAUUGUUCAUUCAGUGGUGCUAGUUUCCUUCACUAUGCAAAUGUACUGUUUAUAAGGUUGGGGAAACCUGCAGUCAGCUGAGACUGAAGAAGUCACUUGGAUGAGUGAC